rnacentral:rRNA from 1 species
AACGAACGCUGGCGGCAGGCCUAACACAUGCAAGUCGAACGCCGUAGCAAUACGGAGUGGCAGACGGGUGAGUAACACGUGGGAACGUACCCUUCGGUUCGGGAUAACUCAGGGAAACUUGAGCUAAUACCGGAUACGUCCGAGAGGAGAAAGAUUUAUUGCCGAGGGAUCGGCCCGCGUCUGAUUAGCUUGUUGGUGAGGUAACGGCUCACCAAGGCGACGAUCAGUAGCUGGCUGAGAGGAUGAUCAGCCACAUUGGGACUGAGACACGGCCCAAACUCCUACGGGAGGCAGCAGUGGGGAAUAUUGGACAAGUGGGCGCAAGCCUGAUCCAGCCAUGCCGCGUGAGUGAUGAA